UAUAAUUUUGUCUGAAAAUUAUACAUUAGCCCCCAAGUGUCACGGAUAUUGCUUGUAAUAGUUCUGAGACUUGCCCCUUAAUCAUAUGCUUCAACAGGAAUCUCUUAUCCAGACUGAAUCAGCACUUGGCGACUUGAAGAAAAGCUUAUCUGAUCAGCAGGAUGCCCAAGCCAAAUCGGAGGAGAAGUAUCGACUGGUCCUAGCUGAGAUGGAAAAGCUAAAAGCCGACUUAAAAAGGGCUCAAGCUGACCAAGAUGUUUUAACAAAGCGAGCAGAGAAAGCUGAGGCCAAAUUGGAUAC
rnacentral:lncRNA from 1 species